AUUAAGGUAGCAAAACCAGGCUAUGCAACAGGCUUAAAACCUAGACACAGAUGUUCAAAUCAUCUCCUUAAUA
rnacentral:tRNA from 1 species